rnacentral:rRNA from 1 species
AGUGAACGCUGGCGGUAGGCCUAACACAUGCAAGUCGAACGGCAGCACAGUAAGAGCUUGCUCUUACGGGUGGCGAGUGGCGGACGGGUGAGGAAUACAUCGGAAUCUACUUUUUCGUGGGGGAUAACGUAGGGAAACUUACGCUAAUACCGCAUACGACCUACGGGUGAAAGCAGGGGAUCUUCGGACCUUGCGCGAUUGAAUGAGCCGAUGUCGGAUUAGCUAGUUGGCGGGGUAAAGGCCCACCAAGGCGACGAUCCGUAGCUGGUCUGAGAGGAUGAUGCGCAGCACAGGAAAGGGGACAAGGUCCAGACUCCUAAGGGAGGCAGCAGUGGGGAAUAUUGGGCAAUGGGCGGAAGUCUGAACCAGACAAACCGCGUGGGUGAAGAAGGCCAUCGGGUUGUAAAGCCCGUUUGUUGGGGAAGAAAAGCAGCAGGUUAAUACCCAGCUGUUCUGACGGUACCCAAAGAAUAAGCAACGGCUAACUUCGUG